UUGAACGCUGGCGGCAUGCCUUACACAUGCAAGUCGAACGGUAGAGGGGCAACCCUUGAGAGUGGCGAACGGGUGAGUAAUGCAUCGGAACGUGCCCAGUCGUGGGGGAUAACGCAGCGAAAGCUGUGCUAAUACCGCAUGUGAUCUGUGGAUGAAAGCAGGGGACCGCAAGGCCUUGUGCGAUUGGAGCGGCCGAUGUCAGAUUAGCUAGUUGGUAGGGUAAAAGCCUACCAAGGCGACGAUCUGU
rnacentral:rRNA from 1 species